UACGGGGGGGGCAAGCGUUGUUCGGAAUUACUGGGCGUAAAGGGCUUGUAGGCGGCCAACUAAGUCAGACGUGAAAUCCCCAGGCUCAACCUGGGAACUGCGUCUGAUACUGGAUGGCUUGAAUCCGGGAGAGGGAUGCAGAAUUCCAGGUGUAGCGGUGAAAUGCGUAGAUAUCUGGAGGAAUACCGGUGGCGAAGGCGGCAUCCUGGACCGGCAUUGACGCUGAGGAGCGAAAGCCAGGGGAGCAAACGGG
rnacentral:rRNA from 1 species